rnacentral:rRNA from 1 species
AUUGAACGCUGGCGGCGUGCCUAAUACAUGCAAGUCGAGCGAAUGGAUUGAGAGCUUGCUCUUAUGAAGUUAGCGGCGGACGGGUGAGUAACACGUGGGUAACCUGCCCAUAAGACUGGGAUAACUCCGGGAAACCGGGGCUAAUACCGGAUAACAUUUUGAACCGCAUGGUUCGAAAUUGAAAGGCGGCUUCGGCUGUCACUUAUGGAUGGACCCGGGUCGCAUUAGCUAGUUGGUGAGGUAACGGCUCACCAAGGCAACGAUGCGUAGCCGACCUGAGAGGGUGAUCGGCCACACUGGGACUGAGACACGGCCCAGACUCCUACGGGAGGCAGCAGUAGGGAAUCUUCCGCAAUGGACGAAAGUCUGACGGAGCAACGCCGCGUGAGUGAUGAAGGCUUUCGGGUCGUAAAACUCUGUUGUUAGGGAAGAACAAGUGCUAGUUGAAUAAGCUGGCACCUUGACGGUACCUAACCAGAAAGCCACGGCUAACUACGUGCCAGCCGCCGCCGUAAGAC